AUAAAAAUGUUGAAACCCUAAACUCUCUACUACUCUCCCUGAAACUCUCUACUGCUCAAUCUUCUGAAACGUAACUCCCCAUCCUUCAAACGCUAACUCGAUUUCAGAAAUAUUCUCUCUUUCUCUUCUAAGUUCUUAGUAAAACAGCUCUUAUCUUCUCUAAUUGAAAUCGAAGACCUAAAGGAGAGAAAUUAGGGCUUUUCAAUUUCUGUCUGGUUUAUAAGGAUUUAAAGAAAAAGGAGGAGCUGCAGGCUAAGGAGGCCGAACUGAAUAAAAGUGAACGGGUAAUUUUUGUACUACUGAUGAAACAAGCACAUCCAGUAUUUUUGUACUUCAGUUUUGUAAUUUCUGUUGAAGUCAUGGGUCGUCCAGCAGUCAUACUAUCACUAUGUAUGUAUUAUCAGUUAACUAGUAUGCUUGUUUCUUUUGUGUCCAUCAAAUCUCUUUCGCCGGUUAAGUAAGUGCAUUGAGAAGUAGAUUAUGGCACGCACUAGGCAACUCCUAGGUAAUGGAAAUUGCUUAAAUGUUGAUGUUGCUCCCACUGUGGAGAUUGCAAGGAUAAAACAAAAGAAAAAGGAUACAAGGAUCAAUUGCCCUGGAACAUUAAGCUUUCCACAGAUGAUUCUGGAAAACACAAAGGAGAUGGAGUUCUGUCAUAUGAAGAUCCAUCUGAUGCACAAGCAGCUGGAGGGUUUUACAACAAUUAAGAUUUGCGGGGAUAUGAAAUCAGUGAUACAAUGGUAGCUAGAUCUGCACCUAGAGUUGCACUUGCUUUUGGACAGGGGAAACAAAUAAGAAUAUGCACCAUGUACUUGGAUCGUCCAAUUAGUCCUGGUUGCUAGCAAAGGAUUGAGUGUUCAUUGAUAUCCCCAAAAUUUUAUUUAGAAACCCUGUUUUCAGGUUCAUUGCUUCCAUGCAUUGCGAAUGAGUGAGCUUCCAUUUGUGCCUUCUGCAGUUUCUUCAAGCAAGGACUUUCUUCAUCGUGGUAGAUUGAAGUCGUUUCAAUGAUGAAUAAAAGAUUAGGUUCUUUGGCCAAGGGACUCCUGAGUACCAGGAUGCAUUUAUGAAUUUCAUAGGUAUAGACCAUAUGAUCAAUGGGAAACUUGGAAAUCCUGAAAUCAUCAGUUGUCCUUGUAUUGACUGUGAGAAUCUUGUUGUGCGAAUUCCUGGGAACAAAGUGUUUUGUCACUUGCAACGGAUGGAUCCUACUUGCAUCUAAUGGAUAUUUCAUGGGGAGCCGGCUAGCUGCUAGCACUUCUAAUUAUGUUCACCAAGAGAGAGCAACACCUAAUUAUCUUCACGAAGAGAGAGCAGCACCUAGUGUAUAUCAGGUGGAUAUUUCAUGUUGAAGAUCAGGUUCAUGAUGGGGAGUUGGCCAAGCUGGUGGAAGACAUUGACACCCGGUUAUUCCCAGAUUGUAUAGUGCAUGCAGUUGACUAUCACUAUUGAAUUAUAUAAGCACCAGACCGUAAGUGGUUCAUUAUGAAAAGCUUUUGAUGAACUUCUUUCUAAGGCAAAUUGUUGGAUGUUAACUUUCUCUUAGGUCUGACAUUUGUUAAUUUGAAGUCAUGUUAUUUAUAACCUUGGACAAUAGGUGUCACAAUCUUAACGGUGAAGAGGGGAAUGAUUCUAGCAUUGGUAUUGGUAGUGGGUGAAGAUGGGAGUGAUCAAAGUUGGGAUUAAUUGUCCUAUAUUUGGACUAUAUUUGGACUAUGUUAGUUGUCCACGUCAUAGACUUUUCCAUUUAUAACACCCUUUUUACUUCUGUAUGAACUCAUUGUUAGGUACUUUAUUAUAUUAUUCAAGUUAGCACUUA